GGUAAAAUGGCUGAGAUUAGGCGAUAAAUUGUAAAUUUAUUUAGGAAACAUACUUUCUUUUACCA
rnacentral:tRNA from 1 species